UACAGAGGGGGCAAGCGUUAUUCGGAAUUAUUGGGCGUAAAGAGCUCGUAGGCGGUGUGUCACGUCGGCCGUGAAAACCUGCAGCUUAACUGUGGGCGUGCGGUCGAUACGGGCAUCACUGGAGUUCGGCAGGGGAGACUGGAAUUCCUGGUGUAGCGGUGAAAUGCGCAGAUAUCAGGAGGAACACCGGUGGCGAAGGCGGGUCUCUGGGCCGAUACUGACGCUGAGGAGCGAAAGCGUGGGGAGCGAACAGG
rnacentral:rRNA from 1 species